rnacentral:rRNA from 1 species
UACAGAGGUCUCAAGCGUUGUUCGGAUUCAUUGGGCGUAAAGGGUGCGUAGGUGGCGCCGUAAGUCUGGUGUGAAAUCUCGGGGCUCAACCCCGAAACUGCACUGGAUACUGCGGUGCUCGAGUACUGGAGAGGAGAUUGGAAUUUACGGUGUAGCAGUGAAAUGCGUAGAUAUCGUAAGGAAGACCAGUGGCGAAGGCGAAUCUCUGGACAGUUACUGACACUGAGGCACGAAGGCCAGGGGAGCAAACGGG